GAUAGCUACGCAGCUAUACUGCAGUCGAACGGUGUCUUCGGACAUAGUGGCGCACGGGUGCGUAACACGUAUGCAACCUACCUUACAUUGGGGGAUAGCCUUUCGAAAGGGAGAUUAAUACCGGGAUAAGACAGUAGCUGGGCAUCCAGCAGCUGUUAAAGAUUUAUCGAUGUAAGCUGGGCAUGCGUCCAAUUAGCUAGUUGGUGAGGUAAUGGCUCACCAAGGCAAUGAUUGGUAGGGAACUGAGAGGUCAAUCCCCCACACUGGCACUGAGAUACGGGCCAGACUCCUACGGGAGGCAGCAGUAGGGAAUAUUGGGCAAUGGACGCAAGUCUGACCCAGCCAUGCCGCGUGCAGGAUGAAGGCGUUAUGCGUUGUAAACUGCUUUUAUACAGGAAGAAACGACUCUUGCGAGAGGCAUUGACGGUACUGUAUGAAUAAGCACCGGGCUAACUCCGUGCCAGCAGCCGCGGUAAUACGGAGGGUGCAAGCGUUGUCCGGAUUUAUUGGGUUUAAAGGGUGCGCAGGUGGUUUAUUAAGUCAGUGGUGAAAGACGGUCGCUCAACGAUUGCAGUGCCAUUGAAACUGGUAGACUUGAGUAAAGUAGAGGUGGGCGGAAUUGAUAGUGUAGCGGUGAAAUGCAUAGAUAUUAUCAAGAACUCCAAUUGCGUAGGCAGCUCACUU
rnacentral:rRNA from 1 species